rnacentral:rRNA from 1 species
CCUACGGGAGGCAGCAGUGGGGAAUAUUGGACAAUGGGCGAAAGCCUGAUCCAGCCAUGCCGCGUGAGUGAUGAAGGCCCUAGGGUUGUAAAGCUCUUUUGUGCGGGAAGAUAAUGACGGUACCGCAAGAAUAAGCCCCGGCUAAUUCGUGC